rnacentral:rRNA from 1 species
UGCCAGCCGCCGCGGUAAUACGGAGGGUGCGAACGUUAAUCGGAAUUACUGGGCGUAAAGCGCACGUAGGCGGUUUGUUAAGUGGGAUGUGAAAGCCCCGGGCUCAACCUGGGAAUUGCAUUCCAAACUGACAGGCUAGAGUGCAGUAGAGGGAGGUAGAAUUUCCUGUGUAGCGGUGAAAUGCGUAGAUAUAGGAAGGAAUACCAGUGGCGAAGGCGGCCUCCUGGACUGACACUGACGCUGAGGUGCGAAAGCGUGGGGAGCAAACAGGAUUAGAUA